rnacentral:rRNA from 1 species
ACGCAUCCUUUGCUGAAGGCAAUGGUUAACGGAGCGAAAGCGACGUUCAACCGCAAAACAAGCAGAGGGGGCUUAGUGGUGGGGUGACUGCGUACCUUUUGUAUAAUGGGUCAGCGACUUAUAUUCUGUAGCAAGGUUAACCGUAUAGGGGAGCCGGAGGGAAACCGAGUCUUAAUUGGGCGUUAAGUUGCAGGGUAUAGACCCGAAACCCGGUGAUCUAGCCAUGGGCAGGUUGAAGGUUGGGUAACACUAACUGGAGGACCGAACCGACUAAUGUUGAAAAAUUAGCGGAUGACCUGUGGCUGGGGGUGAAAGGCCAAUCAAACCGGGAGAUAGCUGGUUCUCCCCGAAAGCUAUUUAGGUAGCGCCUCGUGAAUUCAUCUCCGGGGGUAGAGCACUGUUUCGGCUAGGGGGCCAUCCCGGCUUACCAACCCGAUGCAAACUGCGAAUACCGGAGAAUGUUAUCACGGGAGACACACGGCGGGUGCUAACGUCCGUCGUGAAGAGGGAAACAACCCAGACCGCCAGCUAAGGUCCCAAAGUCAUGGUUAAGUGGGAAACGAUGUGGGAAGGCCCAGACAGCCAGGAUGUUGGCUUAGAAGCAGCCAUCAUUUAAAGAAAGCGUAAUAGCUCACUGGUCGAGUCGGCCUGCGCGGAAGAUGUAACGGGGCUAAACCAUGCACCGAAGCUGCGGCAGCGAACGUAUCACUUAAAGCGAUUCAGCGGGUUACGAUUGACGGAGCGAAGCGACGUCAAAGCGUAUACAAAGUCGAGUCGGUUUAAGGAUACGUUCGUUGGGUAGGGGAGCGUUCUGUAAGCCUGCGAAGGUGGCCUGUGAGGGUUGCUGGAGGUAUCAGAAGUGCGAAUGCUGACAUAAGUAACGAUAAAGCGGGUGAAAAGCCCGCUCGCCGGAAGACCAAGGGUUCCUGUCCAACGUUAAUCGGGGCAGGGUGAGUCGACCCCUAAGGCGAGGCCGAAAGGCGUAGUCGAUGGGAAACGGGUUAAUAUUCCCGUACUUGGUGUUACUGCGAAGGGGGGACGGAGAAGGCUAUGUUGGCCGGGCGACGGUUGUCCCGGUUUAAGCGUGUAGGCUGGUUUUCCAGGCAAAUCCGGAAAAUCAAGGCUGAGGCGUGACGACGAGGCACUACGGUGCUGAAGCAACAAAUGCCCUGCUUCCAGGAAAAGCCUCUAAGCAUCAGGUAACACGAAAUCGUACCCCAAACCGACACAGGUGGUCAGGUAGAGAAUACCAAGGCGCUUGAGAGAACUCGGGUGAAGGAACUAGGCAAAAUGGUGCCGUAACUUCGGGAGAAGGCACGCUGACACGUAGGUGAAGUGAUUUACUCAUGGAGCUGAAGUCAGUCGAAGAUACCAGCUGGCUGCAACUGUUUAUUAAAAACACAGCACUGUGCAAACACGAAAGUGGACGUAUACGGUGUGACGCCUGCCCGGUGCCGGAAGGUUAAUUGAUGGGGUCAGCGCAAGCGAAGCUCCUGAUCGAAGCCCCGGUAAACGGCGGCCGUAACUAUAACGGUCCUAAGGUAGCGAAAUUCCUUGUCGGGUAAGUUCCGACCUGCACGAAUGGCGUAAUGAUGGCCAGGCUGUCUCCACCCGAGACUCAGUGAAAUUGAACUCGCUGUGAAGAUGCAGUGUACCCGCGGCAAGACGGAAAGACCCCGUGAACCUUUACUAUAGCUUGACACUGAACAUUGAGCCUUGAUGUGUAGGAUAGGUGGGAGGCUUUGAAGCGUGGACGCCAGUCUGCGUGGAGCCGACCUUGAAAUACCACCCUUUAAUGUUUGAUGUUCUAACGUGGACCCGUUA